rnacentral:lncRNA from 1 species
GGUUGCAACACGGAUAAAGACAGAAGCAGGAUGCAGGUAGGCGCAGGCUCUAGCCUGAGAACUAUGGGAAGAGGCGCACAGCGGCACAGGGUGUGAGCGACUUGAGAGGUGGCUGAACGCAGUUGGUGCAGCACCGGUUUCCCAAGGGUAGGUGUGGCCUUGGAGACACUCAUCCUAGUUGCCUGGAAGCCAGUCUUCUGCUAGCAGCCUUCAGGUGAAGAUGGCGAACUCUCAGCUCCUGCUGCACCAUGCCUGCCUGGAUGCUGCCAUGUUCCCGCCUUAAUGAUA